CGGAAUGAGAACACUUUAAAUCCUUUAACGAGUAACAAUUGGAGGGCAAGUCUGGUGCCAGCAGCCGCGGUAAUUCCAGCUCCAAUAGCGUAUAUUAAAGUUGUUGCGGUUAAAAAGCUCGUAGUCUAAAUUGUGUCUCGCGCCGCCGGUUCAUCGUUCGCGGUGUUAACUGGCGUGCCGUGGGACGUCCUGCCGGCGGGCUUAGCUCGAGAGGGCGGCCCGACACGGUCCCGCCGCGGUGCUCUUCAUUGAGUGUCGAGGUGGGCCGGCACGUUUACUUUGAACAAAUUAGAGUGCUUAAAGCAGGCCGAAAUAUUGCCUGAAUAUUGUAUGCAUGGAAUAAUGAAAGAGGACCUCGGUUCUUUUUUGUUGGUUUUCAGAACCACGAGGUAAUGAUUAACGGAAACGAAUGGGGGCAUUCGUAUUGCGACGUUAGAGGUGAAAUUCUUGGAUCGUCGCAAGACGGACAGAAGCGAAAGCAUUUGCCAAAAACGUUUUCAUUGAUCAAGAACGAAAGUUAGAGGUUCGAAGGCGAUCAGAUACCGCCCUAGUUCUAACCAUAAACGAUGCCAACUAGCGAUCCGCCGACGUUCCUCCGAUGGCUCGGCGGGCAGCUUCCGGGAAACCAAAGCUUUUGGGUUCCGGGGGAAGUAUGGUUGCAAAGCUGAA
rnacentral:rRNA from 2 species